UACAGAGGUCUCGAGCGUUAGGCGGAAUCGCUGGGCUUAAAGCGUGUGUAGGCGGCGGGCUAAGUACCUUGUGAAAUCCCACGGCUUAACUGUGGAACUGCUGGGUAUACUGGUUCGCUUGAGCGGUCUAGGGGCGAGCGGAACAAAUGGUGGAGCGGUGAAAUGCGUAGAUAUCAUUUGGAACGCCAACGGUGAAAACAGCUCGCUGGGGACCUGCUGACGCUGAGACACGAAAGCCAGGGGAGCGAACGGG
rnacentral:rRNA from 1 species